rnacentral:rRNA from 1 species
AGCGAACGCUGGCGGCAGGCCUAACACAUGCAAGUCGAACGCCCGUAGCAAUACGGGAGUGGCAGACGGGUGAGUAACGCGUGGGAACGUACCCUUCGGUUCGGAAUAAUCCAGGGAAACUUGGACUAAUACCGGAUACGUCCGUGAGGAGAAAGAUUUAUCGCCGAAGGAUCGGCCCGCGUCGGAUUAGCUAGUUGGUGAGGUAACGGCUCACCAAGGCUUUGAUCCGUAGCUGGUCUGAGAGGACGAACAGCCACACUGGGACUGGGACACGGCCCAGACUCCUACGGGAGGCAGCAGUGGGGAAUAUUGGACAAUGGGCGCAAGCCUGAUCCAGCCAUGCCGCGUGAGUGAUGAAGGCCUUAGGGUUGUAAAGCUCUUUCGGCGGGGACGAUAAUGACGGUACCCGCAGAAGAAGCCCCGGCCAACUUCGUGCCAGCAGCCGCCGCAGUAA